UUCCAAGGUUCUUCAGGUAACAGGACCGCUCUGCCCAGAACUGGGAAAAGAGGAAAAUGGGACGGAGGUUUCCCUUCAGCCUCACCUUUCGUGGCUUCCUUGUUGUCUGCCUGUACCUCAAAGAAGCUGUACCCUGCAAGACAGGCUGGACGUACUAUAAAGGUCACUGCUACGGCCUCUUCAACAACAAGCUGAAUUGGGCAGAGGCAGAGGUGAG